rnacentral:rRNA from 1 species
UACGAAGGGGGCUAGCGUUGCUCGGAAUCACUGGGCGUAAAGCGCACGUAGGCGGAUUGCUAAGUCAGGGGUGAAAUCCUGGAGCUCAACUCCAGAACUGCCUUUGAUACUGGCGACCUUGAGUCCGGGAGAGGUGAGUGGAACUGCGAGUGUAGAGGUGAAAUUCGUAGAUAUUCGCAAGAACACCAGUGGCGAAGGCGGCUCACUGGCCCGGUACUGACGCUGAGGUGCGAAAGCGUGGGGGAGCAAACAGG